CCCUACGGGGCGCAGCAGGCGCGAAAACUUUACAAUGCGGGAAACCGUGAUAAGGGAACACCGAGUGCCAGCAUCAUAUGCUGGCUGUCCAGAUGUGUAAACUACAUCUGUUAGCAAGGGCCGGGCAAGACCGGUGCCAGCCGCCGCGGUAACACCGGCGGCCCGAGUGGUGGCCGUUAUUAUUGGGUCUAAAGGGUCCGUAGCCGGUUUGGUCAGUCCUCCGGGAAAUCUGAUAGCUUAACUGUUAGGCUUUCGGGGGAUACUGCCAGGCUUGGAACCGGGAGAGGUAAGAGGUACUACAGGGGUAGGAGUGAAAUCUUGUAAUCCCUGUGAGACCACCUGUGGCGAAGGCGUCUUACCAGAACGGGUUCGACGGUGAGGGACGAAAGCUGGGGGCACGAACCGGAUUAGAUACCCGGGUAGUCCCAGCCGUAAACUAUGCUCGCUAGGUGUCAGGCAUGGCGCGACCGUGUCUGGUGCCGCAGGGAAGCCGUGAAGCGAGCCACCUGGGAAGUACGGCCGCAAGGCUGAAACUUAAAGGAAUUGGCGGGGGAGCACAACAACGGGUGGAGCCUGCGGUUUAAUUGGACUCAACGCCGGACAACUCACCGGGAACGACA
rnacentral:rRNA from 1 species